rnacentral:rRNA from 1 species
CCUACGGGUGGCAGCAGUGAGGAAUAUUGGUCAAUGGGCGGGAGCCUGAACCAGCCAAGCCGCGUGAGGGAAGAAGGUACAGCGUAUCGUAAACCUCUUUUGUCAGGGAACAAAUGCGGGGACUAGUCCCCGGAUGAGGGUACCUGAAGAAAAAGCAUCGGCAAACUCCGUGCCAGCAGCCGCGGUAAUACGGAGGAUGCGAGCGUUAUCCGGAUUCAUGGGGGUUAAAGGGUGCGCAGGCGGCCUGUUAAGUCAGCGGUAAAAGCCCGGGGCUCAACCCCGGCGAGCCGUUGAAACUGGGGGGCUGGAGUGGGAGAGAGGUACGCGGAAUGCGCGGUGUAGCGGUGAAAUGCUUAGAUAUCGCGCGGAACCCCGGUUGCGAAGGCAGCGUACCGGCUCCACACUGACGCUGAGGCACGAAAGCGUGGGGAGCGAACAGGAUUAGAUACCCCUGUAGUC